UACGUAGGGUGCGAGCGUUAAUCGGAAUUACUGGGCGUAAAGCGUGCGCAGGCGGUUCGUUGUGUCGGUGGUGAAAGCCCCGGGCUUAACCUGGGAAUGGCCAUGGAAACUGGCGAACUGGAGUGUGGCAGAGGGGGGUGGAAUUCCGCGUGUAGCAGUGAAAUGCGUAGAGAUGCGGAGGAACACCGAUGGCGAAGGCGAGUCCCUGGACAACACCUGACACUGAGGCACGAAAGCUAGGGGAGCAAACAGG
rnacentral:rRNA from 1 species